GACGAACGCUGGCGGCGUGCUUAACACAUGCAAGUCGAACGGAAAGGCCCCCACCUUUUGGUGGGGGUGCUCGAGUGGCGAACGGGUGAGUAACACGUGGGUGAUCUGCCCUGUACUUCGGGAUAAGCUUGGGAAACUGGGUCUAAUACCGGAUAGGACCAUGGUUUAGUGUCUCAUGGUGGAAAAAUAUUGUUUUGGUGCAGGAUGAGCUCGCGGCCUAUCAGCUUGUUGGUGGGGUAAUGGCCUACCAAGGCGUCGACGGGUAGCCGGCCUGAGAGGGUGGACGGCCACAUUGGGACUGAGAUACGGCCCAGACUCCUACGGGAGGCAGCAGUGGGGAAUAUUGCACAAUGGGCGCAAGCCUGAUGCAGCGACGCCGCGUGGGGGAUGACGGCCUUCGGGUUGUAAACUCCUUUCGUUAGGGACGAAGCCGCACCUUUUUUGGGUGUGGUGACGGUACCUUUGUUAAGAAGCACCGGCUAACUACGUGCCAGCCGCCGCCGUAA
rnacentral:rRNA from 1 species